rnacentral:precursor_RNA from 8 species
CUUUGAGGAUGGGCCACUGGCUGCACUUGUAGGGGAGUGCCUGGGAAGCUGUUCCUUUUGGCCGACUACUUCCUGGUGCCUCGCCCCACACCCAGCAGCUUCUGCUCAGAGCCCACAGU